AGCGAGGUGGGGUAGUCAGGAAAUCCCGGCGGCUCAUAACCCGUAGACCGAUGGUUCAAAUCCAUCCCUCGCUA
rnacentral:tRNA from 2 species